rnacentral:tRNA from 3 species
CAAGGACUAAAGAAUCUUCUUUAUUUCAGGCUUUGAAGGCCUGGAGUUUCUAUAACUUAAGACCUU